UUUGUCGGAAAGACAAUCGAAUCUGAUCCAUAUUCCGUCCAUUUCUUGGUUUCUGACACUAUUUACGCAUGGUCUGGAAAAAUCUCCGACAAGUACAACCUUAUCAAUGUUUCACUCUGGACACAACCAGCCCUGCUGUUUUCUUUAGGUUAUCACAUGGAGCUUCUAAGAGAAAAGGGUCAUUUCCCAUGGAAAGGUAUGCAUAAAUUAAAUCUACAUCUUGCUAAUUCCUCUCCUGUUAUAAACAUAAAAUAUUCGCAUUAUUUCAUUUCUCAUACUUAUGUGUAGUAGCUUUCUUCAAUGUCAGGCAAUAUAGCCGAGGAAAUAAACUACGUUCCAGGAGUUCAGUCAAUAAGCACAAGAGACUUGAUGCCGUAUUUUACAAAAGCAGAGUCGGAAUAUAUUCCAACCAAAGUCUCAUCCGUGGCAUUCGGCAAGUAAAGAAGGCGGAUUUCAUCCUACACAACACUGUGUAUGAGUUAGAAUCUCAGACACUCUCAGCUCUCAGCAAAUACCAACCAAAUUACGCAAUUGGCCCUAUUAGGUUCUCCAAGAAUGUUCCAACAAAUGAUGUCAGCAAGAGUUUUUGGUCUGAAUCAGACUGUACAAACUGGCUAGACUCCAAGUCCCCUGGCUCAGUUUUGUACGUUUCAUUUGGAAGUUCUGUUCAGACCAAUAAGCAGGUGACUGAAGAAGUGGCUUACGGGCUUCUUCUCAGUGAAGUGAACUUCAUUUGGGUGAUUCGACCAGGUAUCCUCGGUUCUCCUGAUAACAAUGUUUUACCAUUUGGAUUCGAGGAUGAGAUUAAUAUUAAGGACAAAGGGUUGAUUAUUCCAUGGUGUGAUCAAAUUAAGGUUCUUUCUAAUCCGGUUAUUGGAGGGUUCUUGACACAUUGUGGGUGGAAUUCGACUUUGGAGAGCAUGUGGUGUGGGGUUCCAAUGAUUUGCUACCCUAUAGACUGGGAUCAACCUACUAAUAGGAAAUUAGUGGUUGAUGAUUGGAAGAUUGGGAUUAAUCUUUGUGAUUACGGAACAUCAGUUGAUAGGAAACAAGUUGCUGAGAAGAUUAAGCAAUUAAUGAGCGGAAAUAGUUCUAAGAGCUUGAGGCAAGAAGCAGAUAACGUAAAGGCGAUUUUGCAGAAGGCAGUUGAAAUUGAUGGAUCGUCCGAGAAAAACUUUGAUCGAUUUAUCGAAGAUUUGAGGGGAAAAAUUCACGAAACAGCUUUAAAUAUGAGUUAGUACCACCAGAUCAUUUUUCGUAAUGAUUAUUCAGAAAUCAAAUAAUGAAAAUUAAGAAUUGAACAUUAACCAGAACUGUCAGUUAAGCAGAGGUUUUCAAUUAAAAAAAAAUAAGCAGAAAGUGAAUUCGAGUUAAUUAAAAUGAUUCAUUUUCACCCAGUUACAAGCUUCCCUGAUUUCAACUAUAUACAAACAAUUCUUAUGCAUGAUUAAUAUAAUAAUAUAUAGAUCUUUUAGCUGGUCCUAGUACCUGCUGUCUUGUCAAAUUCUGAAUUGCGUCUCUUAGCUCCAUUCUUAUCACAAACUGGCAUAAUUUGUCUAGUUCUGAAUACUACAUACGCCUGUCAAUAGCACCACACAAAUUCAAUCCAGAAGAUAUCAGAUAAUAAUUAAGAGAGAGAAAAUAUCAGAAAAUACUACAUACAUACCUCAUACAACACAAUCUAACAAACCUGCAAAAAUUAAGAGAGAGAAAUGGCAGCAGAGAGUGAGUGCAUAAAGUCACAUGCUAUAAUGAUAUCAGCCCCUUACCAAGGUCACAUAAACCCCUUUGUCAGUCUUGCUCUCAAGCUUGCUUCUAAUGGCUUUUCCAUCACUUUUGUUCAUUUCGAAUUCGUACACGACAAAUUAUCCAAGGCCCUCCAUAGCAAUAAUAAUGAAGUUGAUUUAUUCUCUGAAGCUCGAGAAUCAGGUCUUGACAUACGUUACACAACCAUUGCUGAUGGUUUUCCUUCUGAAUUUGAUCGGGAACUUCACUUUGAGGAAUAUUGGGAGUCCAUAACGUUCGAUUUUCAAUCUAUAAUCGACGAAUUUGUCGGCAAGACAAUUGAAUCUGAUCCAUAUUCAGUCCAUUUCUUGGUUGCCGACACUAUUUAUGUAUGGCCUGGAAAAAUUUCCGACAAGUACAACCUUAUCAAUGUUUCACUCUGGACUCAACCAGCCCUGGUGUUUUCUUUAGGUUAUCACAUAGAGCUUCUAAGAGAAAAGGGUCAUUUCCCAUGGGGAGGUAUGUAUAAAUUAAAUCUACAUCUUGUUAAUUCAUCUCUUGUGAAAAAUAAAAUAAUAAAAUAUUCGCAGUAAUUAAUUUCCUGAAAUUUUGAAUGUCGUUUCACUUAUAUUAAUAUUGUAGUCCUUUGAGGUAGCUUUUUAAUCCAAACUUAAAUCAGUUGAGGUAGCUUUUUAAUCCAACUUAAAUCAGCUAGAUUGGAUGCCAGGUGACAAAGUUAUGCAUGAAUGACUUAUAUCUUGAAUUUUUAAUAACUCAAAACAUCAAAAUUGCGGGCAGUCUUCAUUGAUUCAUGCAUAUCUUUCCCACCCUACAUCCAAUCUUCGUGAUUCAAGUUGGAUUAGAAAGCUAACUCAAAGAACUCCACCUUUUGUGUUUUGAGUUUUGCCAAAUUCAGCCACAUAAUUGGUCAAAAUCAAGUUUGAAGUUGAAACGGUAUCAUUAAAACCGAAACGACAUUUAUCACAUCCUUUAAAAUUCUCAUACUUACAUGUAG
rnacentral:lncRNA from 1 species